UUGCCUUUAAUUCCUUAUAUCUUGUUGUGUUGUGCAAUUAUUUACUGGCAUCUUGGUCUUGCCUGUAUGUGAGCCCUCUCGUCCCUUCCGUCCGGUUUGGCGAAGGGCGGGGGCUGCAUUCCAGGGCUAAGUAUCCUAUAAAUGCCAACCUAAAGACUGCCGCCGACGGUACAUGAAAAAUUCAAUCGAUGCUAGUAGUCGACUCGAUUGGACAGCGCCCUAAACACCUAAAGGCAGAGAGUAACGCUAGUUUACGGGUCAUGUUUAUCAUUUUAUUUUUGUCCAGAAUCCUUGCAUCAGCAACCCAUGUUUCAACAAUGGCAUUUGUCAACUGGGAUACAUCGAGAGAGGAUUUCGUUGUAAAUGUCCACUAGGAUUCAUGGGACCUUUUUGCAGGAAAGCCUGCAGCUUCGAUUUCGAAGACGGUAUCGGAGGAUGGAAAAAGACUGGUAUAGCGUUGAUAACCAGCCUACUUUUGGUGAUAAUCCAACAGCGCGUGGCAGAGAGGUCGCCAAACAACAGGCGGACUGGUGGAUAGGAGGUACCGAAGUGUCCCUCCCCGUAUGACCCGGCAGGCCAAAUUCAAGGGGACCCUGCCCAGGGAACUCUUACAUUCCCAUGCUUCCGUAUCGUGGGCAAGAACAUCUCGUUUCUUAUGGGCGGAGGCUGCCAAGGGAGUUCCGUCCGGGCAGAGCUAAUUGUAAACAGCCAGGUCAAGAUUUAAUGAAACUUCGUUCCUAGGCUAGUUGUUGGAUUUAUAGUUGUUCACUUUGCUUUCCUCUUGUUUCUGAGUGAGCCUCCAGAGAUAGACUAAACAAACACACACACAACAAUAUUUGAGGUUUGGGAAUGUGAUAGGUUUGUUGGGUAUCUGCAGUUCUGCGAGGAAGGCUUAUCCUUCAGUCACAAAAAGUGUUCUUGCCAGUGCCUAAGCUAAAAGCAGCGAAUUAUCAUCAAGCGAACAAAGGGGAAAUAUUUAUAAGAAAUUGCUUGUGUUAAUACUUAUUUAUAUUAGCUAAGCUUGAGCAUUAAUUUUAUUGUUUUCUUUCAUACAGUUACAGUUGCUUGCCCCAGUAACUAGUUCCAGAAAUAAUCGAGGCGGGGACAAGAAUUCGUAUUAAAAAGGAAAGAAAGAAAGAAAAUAGAGAUAAUUUUCAACAAAAUUAAACAAGAAUAAACAAUAGAAAAAAGGUACAAGUAACCAAAAAAAAAGUAACAGUGUAAUAUGCUCAGACAUAAGCAACUAGAAUACUAUUAUUACAAACUAUGUUAAUUUAGACAAGGUGUGUAUCAGUUUCACAUGCAAUGUCACACAUCAAGGAGCAAUAAUAAAGUGUAGUCACUUGAGAUGUAGAUCGCGACGUUUCGACUGCUCACUGCUAGUCUUCUUC